rnacentral:tRNA from 1 species
AGUUUUAUAGUUUAAUCAAUUAAAAUAUUAAUUUUGUAAAUUAAUGAUAAAUAAAAUUUUAAAACUU